rnacentral:rRNA from 1 species
UCAACUUGAGAGUUUGAUCCUGGCUCAGAACGAACGCUGGCGGCAGGCUUAACACAUGCAAGUCGAACGCCCUCUUCGGAGGGAG